GACGAACGCUGGCGGCGUGCUUAACACAUGCAAGUCGAACGGAAAGGCCCUGCUUGCAGGGUACUCGAGUGGCGAACGGGUGAGUAACACGUGGGUGAUCUGCCCUGCACUUCGGGAUAAGCUUGGGAAACUGGGUCUAAUACCGGAUAGGAGCCAUCUUUAGUGUGGUGGUUGGAAAGUUUUUUCGGUGUAGGAUGAGCUCGCGGCCUAUCAGCUUGUUGGUGGGGUAAUGGCCUACCAAGGCGGCGACGGGUAGCCGGCCUGAGAGGGUGUACGGCCACAUUGGGACUGAGAUACGGCCCAGACUCCUACGGGAGGCAGAAGUGGGGAAUAUUGCACAAUGGGCGCAAGCCUGAUGCAGAGACGCCGCGUGGGGGAUGAAGGCCUUCGGGUUGUAAACUCCUUUCGCUAGGGACGAAGCUUUUUUGUGACGGUACUUAGAUAAGAAGCACCGGCUAACUACGUG
rnacentral:rRNA from 1 species